GACGAACGCUGGCGGCAGGCUUAACACAUGCAAGUCGAACGAACGUAGCAAUACGUGAGUGGCGCACGGGAGAGUAACACGUGGGAACCUACCUAUCGGUUCGGAAUAACGUCGGGAAACUGACGCUAAUACCGGAUACGCCCCAAGGGGGAAAGAUGUAUCGCUGAUAGAUGGGCCCGCGCUAGAUUAGCUUGUUGGUGAGGUAAUGGCUCACCAAGGCUACGAUCGAUAGCUGGUCUGAGAGGAGGACCAGCCUCACUGGGACAGAGACACGGCCCAGACUCUUACGGGAGGCAGCAGUGGGGAAUAUUGGACAAUGGGGGCAACCCUGAUCCAGCCAUGCCGCGUGAAUGAUGAAGGCCUUCGGGUUGUAAAGUUCUUUUGGUGGGGACGAUGAUGACGGUACCCACAGAAUAAGCUCCGGCUAACUUCGUGCCAGCAGCCGCCGUAA
rnacentral:rRNA from 1 species